GUGUCAGCCGCCGCGGUAAGACAGAGGAUGCAAGCGUUAUCCGGAAUGAUUGGGCGUAAAGCGUCUGUAGGUGGCUUUUUAAGUCUGCCGUCAAAUCCCAGGGCUUAACCCUGGACAGGCGGUGGAAACUACCAAGCUGGAGUACGGUAGGGGCAGGGGGAAUUUCCGGUGGAGCGGUGAAAUGCGUAGAGAUCGGAAAGAACACCAACGGCGAAAGCACUCUGCUGGGCCGACACUGACACUGAGAGACGAAAGCUAGGGGAGCGAAUGGGAUUAGAUACCCUGGUAGUCC
rnacentral:rRNA from 1 species